rnacentral:tRNA from 1 species
GGGCGCUUAGCUCAGUUGGUUAGAGCGAGUGACUUACAUUCACUAGGCCAGGGGUUCAAGUCCUCUAGCGCCCA